rnacentral:rRNA from 1 species
UACGGAGGGUGCGAGCGUUGUUCGGAAUCACUGGGCGUAAAGCGCGUGUAGGCGGCCCACUAAGUCUGAUGUGAAAGCCCGGGGCUCACCCCCCGGAAGUGCAUUGGAAACUGGUGGACUAGAGUCCCGGAGAGGAGAGUGGAAUUCCUGGUGUAGCGGUGAAAUGCGUAGAUAUCAGGAGGAACACCGGUGGCGAAGGCGGCUCUCUGGACGGUGACUGACGCUGAGACGCGAAAGCGUGGGGAGCAAACAGG